rnacentral:lncRNA from 1 species
CAACAGUUAAACUUUUAUAUUUACAAUAUUCUCUUCAUCUUUUGCCAGGUUUAAAAAUGUGUACAGAGCCGCAAAGGGUUGGGGUAGGGAUAAGGGAUUGUCAGGAUUGUUUUGGGGAGAGGAGCUGGGCAUUGGAGUCCGUGGCUGAAUCAUGGGGUCCCCCAGCCCCCCUCCCAUGCCCCAAUUCUGAGGGCAUCUGUCUACAGGGUUCAGGGCCCAGGUCUCUAGCAUUUGGAGGGCAUGGCUGUUUGGAGAGGAGCUAGACCAGGCAGGGGAAAGGAUCAGAAAAUAACUAAUUUUCCAUGGAUGGAGGUAGGAAGAGAAGGGACAGUCAAGAGGCAAAGUUCUGGGGACUCAAGACCAGGGAUUCUGGAUUUGGGUGUCAGUGGAAGACAGCACCCCAGCCCCUAUUCAAGUUUGGCACUAACACCCCACAAAAUGCCAGCAGAUGAGGACUCUCCCCUCGUCCACUGUGUCCCUUAAGCCCUUCCAGACAUCAUUCUUUUCCCAGAUGCCCAAGCCCAAGGCCCUCCGGGGAGUCACCUCACACAUUUCAAAUUAUUCCUGCUGGUGUCUGCCCAAGCCCUGUCCCCACUGCCCCCUCCAUCUGUUCCCCAGCACCGCUGACCUCAUUCUCCCAACCUGUCUGGUGAGACCUUUCUCCCCACUGCCUCCCUCCACCAUUCAAGGCUCCUUUCUUUCAGACAAGGAGGGGGCUUGGGUCAGAGGAGGGUGGUCAGCUGAGGAGAAGGCUGGUCUGACACUGAGAUGGGGACAGCUUCAAAGAGGGGGACGGAGAUGAAGGGGAACGGAGAACUGAGGCAGGGUGGGGGAGACAUGGUGAGGAGAAGGGGCACAGGCGGGAGCCCCCUCACCUGCCACAUCCCUCGCCCUGUAUCCUGCUUGCCCUUAGUUUCCCCUGCCCUGCCUGGGACUGGGAAAUUCUUGGCACAUUUUGGGAGUCUUUCCGCUCAAAUCCACCUACCCAGUUUGGCACGGAUGAGCAAUGCUCUGAGGCCUGGGGAAAAGGCUGUCCUCGGACCACAAUGAGGGCUUUGGUCAAACAUGCGUGGCCUCUGCGGGGGGCACGUUGCCACGCCCCCUCCCCCCAACUCGGGAGCAUGGGCCGGGCCUCCCUCGGGGUUUGUUCACCCUCCUCAACUCCUGCCAACUAGAAGUCUGUGCUCACCUGCCAUGUGAGGAGGAACUGGGUGCUGGGCCUGAGGCCUGGGGGAGGCAGGGAAGUGCUGGGAAGAGAGGGGCCGUCUGCCUGGGGAAACACACAUCCACAUGCAAGAACCUGUUUCCACUCAGAGAAAUGCGUCCUGGACCAUGGGAAAAUAAGCUUCCAGGCAGCAUCGGGAUGCGUGGACUCCUCCCUCCCCCAGCAGGAAAUCUGUGUCUGUCCUCUCUGGAAGGUGAGGGCCUCUCCGGCAGAACGUGCUUCAUCUGACUUGUGCCAAGGGGGGUGUCGGGGGGAACAUGCUUCGCCGGGGUGGGGGCAAGGGAGGCAGGGGCCAGGGGGCUGUGAUUUCCUCGCUGCUUCCCAGGCUCCAUCCUCUGUGGUCUGGUGGCCAAGGGUCACUGUAUGGGAACACACCACUUCCAGGGUCUCCAGGGGGAGGGAGAGGGGAGGAGGUGGGAGAAGGGAUGGGGAACAGGAUUCUGGGGUACAAAUCCCCACAGAAAUUCUUUGAGGGGGCCAACAUGUGUCCAGGGUGGCAAAAAAAAACCUCACCCUGCACAUGGGAAAACACACCCCGUUGUGAGAAAGCACACCUCCACGCGGGAAAAUACCACAUUCCACACACCGAAGACUGGUGUCCCAAUGCGGGGGGAGAAAACACCCCCCAGUUGUUCAAAGGCCCAGAUCCAGAGAAGAGACUGGGCUUCUCUGCGUGGGAAAGACACGCAUCGCAGGGAGGAAUCCCAUGUCCACCUUAGCGCUGCUGGAUGGCGUGUGACGACUCCACAGGAGAAAAGCCAGUUGCCAAGUCCUCCUCCCUGCCUUCGGAGUGGCCGGGCCAGGGAGGGCCGGGGAGGAAGGCCUCCCCACCCGCCCCCUAUACCCGAGUGGUGGAGUGGGGGUGGGGUAGCGUGUUGUUGUGGCUGGUAGCGGUGGGAGGGGGCGGGGGGAAGGGCCCGAAGGGAUGAAGGGAGGGGGGCGGUGGGGGUGGCGGUGGCCCCAGGCCACUGGGCAGCAGGGUCAGGGCCCCGGGGGCCAAGAGAGGCACAUCGUCCGGUGCCCGGCGCAGGGCCAGGGUGUAGUCGGGCGGGCAGGCAGGGCGCAGAGCCUCGGCAGGGUCCGCCCCGACGCCACCACCCCGCUUCAGCUGCAGUGACACCAGCUCCUCCUCUGGUGGCAGCUCACGGCCCGCGGCGGGGAGCAGGGGGCCCCCACCAGGCACGCCAGAGCCUGAGCCGCCAGGUGGGCUAAGCCGCCUGCACCGCAGCUCCUGCCGCCGGUCCCGCUUGUAGUAGAGGGCAGCAAAGGCCAGGAUGUUGAGGAAGAGGAGGGAGGCAGGCGCGUGGUGGUGGUGAAGAGCUCCGUGUGCAGGUUGUGCAGGUGGGGCACGAGCUCCAGCCAGAAGGCCACCUUGUUGGCGCGGUAGUUGUCACGCACGCGUGGCUUCAGGCCUAUGUGCAGAUACUGCUUCUCCUUGCUGUUGAAUUUGCUCCACACCACCUCCUCGAAGCGAUUGGGCUUGGUGUGGAUGAACUUGGUAUCCUGCGGCACCGGCUGGUUGGGGUCCCUGUGGGCACAGGAGGGCAGGGAAAGGAGGAGUGAGGGCAAGGCUCUGAAGGAGGGUGGAUGGCAGUGGGCAGGGAGACAGACAGAGAUGCAGAGAGACAGGGGGACAGCAAGAAAGCCAGAGAAAAAGUCACAGAGGCAGAGAGACACAGAUGGAUAUGAAGAGACAGAGAAACUGCCUGUCUCUUCAGGCAAAUAGGCAAAUAGGGAUGGAGACAGACUGCCAGAGACAGCCAGAAAUGCGGGCAGAGGGGCAGGGACACACACAGAGAUAGCCAGGGAGAAGCAGAAGCUGAGCCUGAAUGAAACACAGACAGGGUCAAAGACACGGGAGGGACAGCCAGAGACAGAGACACAGCCAGGCUGAAAUCAGCUGGCAGCCAGAGACAGCGAAAAGUAAGCAGACAAAAGAGAGCAGCAGAGGGAGGUGGAGAGCUGUCAGUGGAUUUUCAGAGAGACAGAGACAGAAGUAGAGACACACAAACUCUUACACACACUCAGACACACACACCUGAGCAGUCAGCCAGAGAUGCAGAGCUCUAGGGGGGUCGGGCAGGGGGGAUCAGGCAAGGAGGAGGGAGAGAUAGACGCCAAGCCAAAGCCACUGAGUGGGCCCCCAACUCCCCAGAAAGGACAGCGGCUUCUCUGUCUGAUACUGCUGAGUCUCCAACGCUCAACUCCGUGCCUGGCACAGAGGUGUCUG